UAGGGAAUCUUCCGCAAUGGGCGAAAGCCUGACGGAGCAACGCCGCGUGAGUGAUGAAGGUCUUCGGAUCGUAAAACUCUGUUAUUAGGGAAGAACAUAUGUGUAAGUAACUGUGCACAUCUUGACGGUACCUUAUCAGAAAGCCACGGCUAACUACGUGCCAGCAGCCGCGGUAAUACGUAGGUGGCAAGCGUUAUCCGGAAUUAUUGGGCGUAAAGCGCGCGUAGGCGGUUUUUUAAGUCUGAUGUGAAAGCCCACGGCUCAACCGUGGAGGGUCAUUGGAAACUGGAAAACUUGAGUGCAGAAGAGGAAAGUGGAAUUCCAUGUGUAGCGGUGAAAUGCGCAGAGAUAUGGAGGAACACCAGUGGCGAAGGCGACUUUCUGGUCUGUAACUGACGCUGAUGUGCGAAAGCGUGGGGAUCAAACAGGAUUAGAUACCCUGGUAGUCCACGCCGUAAACGAUGAGUGCUAAGUGUUAGGGGGUUUCCGCCCCUUAGUGCUGCAGCUAACGCAUUAAGCACUCCGCCUGGGGAGUACGACCGCAAGGUUG
rnacentral:rRNA from 1 species